rnacentral:ncRNA from 1 species
GCAAAGUUUUAUUUUAGCUUAGAAAUUGAGUCUAAUUUUAUUAUACAUGUAACUCCGAGUAAGAAAUUUUCAAAAAUUUUGAAAAUUUUUGAAUUUUUUUGCGUUCGCAGUGUAGAAAUUUAAUUUAUCAAUGAAAAUUGGAUUUAGGAAUAAUUUAGAGUUUUGACCAAAUUUGUGCCAGCAGUUGCGGUUAUACAGAUAAUGCGACUUAAUUUUUCAGAUACAGUUAGUUUCACUAAUUUUUAAUUUUAUUAGGAAAUUUAUUGGGUGGAAUCUUAAAUUUUUUUAUAAAUUUUGUUUUUAUAAUGAAGCUGAGAAAUUUAAAUUUUAAACUAGGAUUAGAUACCCUAUUAUUUUGAAUGUGAAUUCAUAUUCUGGAAUAUUAAUAGUUAUGUUCUUUAAAAUCAAAGAUUUUGGCGGUAUUCUAGUCUCUUCAGAGGAACCUGUCCCGUAAUCGAUGGUCCACGAUUAGAUUUACUUUCUCUUUUAGUUUAUAUACCGUCGUAGUUUGAAUAUUUUAGUAGAAUUUUAAUAUUCAUGAAUUUUUUAAAAAAGAAAAUCAGAUCAAGGUGUAGCGUAUGAGUAAGUGUGAGAUGGGUUACAAUAAAUUUAUUUUUGGAUUGUUUUUUUUAAAAUUUCAUGAAUUUGGAUUUGACUGUAAUUUUAAUUAUCUAAUUAAGAUGAUUUUAGCUCUAGAAUAUGCACAUAUCGCCCGUCGCUUUCAUUACAAAGUGGAAUAAGUCGUAACAAAGUAGGCUUACUGGAAAGUGGGCCUGGAAAGAC